ensembl:lncRNA
GGUGGAAACCAAUGCACGUGCACACACGCAACCGCACACAAUGGGGGUGUGUGCUGUGCAUAUCUACACACAGGCACAGCUAACCAGAACGAAGUCCCGCCCACUCUCACACGUGAUUGGCCCACAUCAUCAUGCCAUUGCCACCAUGUGUCAUAGCUCCUCUGUAGCUGUGGCAGUCAGAGUGGAUCCAGACCAUGGUCUACUAACACAAGGGGAUUGCCGGUGCUGGGACCGUACCUCAGUGUGUCCAGACGUGGCCAGAAGAGAGGAGACCGACGCGCCUCACCAACCGGGACGGUCCAAGAGUCCAGAGUCCGAACGUACUGUUUGACGUGCCUCUCUACGUUUCCAACCAAUCACCGAGCCGAACUAGUGGUAGAGGUCCCGCCUGCUGUACGUUCCGGACCUUGGAUUGAUCCUCAACCAGCCAAAAAGACCGGCAGUCAAAAUCUCCAGCGGUGACGAUGAUACCGAGAUUGGCCAAUCCGGUGCUGGGCAUUCAAGGAUAUGAACCAAUGAAAUGGUUGCAUAUCGUCUUGGCCGAGGUAUUGCUUGCACCUGACUCACCAUACAUAUUACAUGGAUGGAUGUGACACUGCUUGUUUUUAUUUUAAUAAUAACCAUUUAAGAAGUCAAAAAAGUCAACUUCCG